GCUGCCGCCGCCGCUGCCGCGCUCCCGAGAGCCGCCGCAUCCGCCGCGGCACGGAGUUUUCAGCCGGGCAGAGCCAGACGUCAGCAGGAGGAGGGCGGAGAUGAAUAGUCCUGAUUGAAUUUUGAGAUAUUGCUGAAGAUACAAGAAAGACCAGUCCAGAUGUGUCUCUAGGAGGAUUCGUGGGUAACAUUCAGAUGACCCUUCCUUCCAUCCUUCUAUCUUCCUUGAAUAAGAAGUUUGAUCCCGAAUUCUUCACUUACAGGAUCAUUUCAUUCAGAUUUCACUGUGUGAUGUCAGAUCAGGAGACAGCACUCAUUUAUACUACCAUCACGAUUGUUGCUGCCCAUGUCAGCGUGACUGCAGAGGAGCAUAAUGCAAGAAGAUGUGGCUGAAGACACAAUAGAUCCACCUGAUCCAGCAGCUGUUCAGCUUCCUACGUAUUUUCACGACAAACCUCCUUUUUGAGCUGCUAAUAAGUCACUGUCAUAUUUCAGGCUGAAACUCCUCAGACUUGUAAGCUCUAAAUGAACAUAAAGCUGAAGCUGAUACCAGAGAUACGUCCAGGCUUCCAGCUGAAGACUAACAUUGAUCAGUCAAGGGUAAAAAACACAGAGAGCAGAAUGCUGUUACUAUAGUGAGCGCCGCAGAAAUCAAUGCGUUUGAAAUGGGAAUCAACCUAUUGAGGCUGGUACAUUGCGAUGAGAGCUCAUAUUCUGAUUACAGCCCUGUCUGCAGGAACUGGGGGCAAUUCCGUGAGCUAACGGGGGGGAAAGCACUCAGCAGUGUGUUACAGUAAUGUUGUCUAGAGGGAAUGAAGCAUGGACACAAAAGUCCAUCUUGUGAGUAAGCUAAGCUCUUACCCUUGAAAUUGUUUAUUUAGAUUACUAUGGGAAUUUUUAAUGUAAACUGUAGCAAUAUACUCAAUCAAAAAGUAUGUAUUAAGCAGAAAGUGACCUUUAACUUUUACCUCCUCUGGUGGAACUUAAUUUCAAUGGAUUCGAGAGUACUGUGAAGAAGGUAAAAGUAGCCAUCACAGUUGAUGUCUGUUGACGAUGUGUCUGUCUGCACAGCACACAGGGUAUGGUAUGAAGGUACUAGUUUUGGUCCCAGAAACGGCCCUGUCGCACCAGUGCAGUGAGUUACUCACGGCAGUCUCAAAGGAAAGCAAACGUCAGUGGGACGUGGCGAUCUAGCUCACAUAGACUGCCAGAGAAAAGCCAGUCUCCGGGGCUUUCUCCGUCUGUCUCAGUUGUCUUCCAGCGUUCUCCACAGUCAUUUCCAAUGCGAGACCUCCCCCCAGCCCCAUUAGCUUUAGCUCCGACUAGUCAACCCUCCAUGGCCAGAUCAACGGUAGCCUCUUCCACCUAACAAUUGCAGCAAGGCUUAUUGUGUUAAUGCCCUCUGCUCGGCUCUCUGGAAUAAGCUUCUGUAGAUCCUUUGUGCCAGAAAGAUUAACUAGAGGAAUAUCUGUCUAAAGUAGAUACUAACGGGGCAUAAAGGUGCCAAAAAUGUCAGAGUGCUCACAGACCUAGUUACAGCUCAAAUUAUUCACCACAACAGUCAUGUCACCGGUAAUUCCCGAGGGCUAAUUAGAGAACUGGCAGCUGCGCUGCUGCCAUCACAGCCUUCAGUUUCACAGUCCCCGUACUGACCCAACCCGGAGACUCAAUCCGACAGCCCAGGGACAGAUAUGGGACUGACUACCCAUAACUUCUUUUUUAAACAAGGUCACAGUGGGUCUUACUCAAUUGCAUUUUUAGUAUUUCCUCUGUAUUCUUGCAUCACAA